rnacentral:rRNA from 1 species
AUUGAACGCUGGCGGCAUGCUCUACACAUGCAAGUCGAACGGUAACAGGCCGCAAGGUGCUGACGAGUGGCGAACGGGUGCGUAAUGCAUCGGAACGUGCCCAGUCGUGGGGGAUAACUACUCGAAAGAGUAGCUAAUACCGCAUACGAUCUAUGGAUGAAAGCGGGGGACCGUAAGGCCUCACGCGAUUGGAGCGGCCGAUGUCAGAUUAGGUAGUUGGUGGGGUAAAGGCUCUCCAAGCCAACGAUCUGUAGCUGGUCUGAGAGGACGACCAGCCACACUGGGACUGAGACACGGCCCAGACUCCUACGGGAGGCAGCAGUGGGGAAUUUUGGACAAUGGGCGCAAGCCUGAUCCAGCAAUGCCGCGUGCAGGAAGAAGGCCUUCGGGUUGUAAACUGCUUUUGUACGGAACGAAACGGCUCUGGUUAAUACCCGGGGCUAAUGACGGUACCGGAAGAAUAAGCACCGGCUAACUACGUG